rnacentral:other from 1 species
UGGGCGGUGAACAAACGCGGGUCUGGCGGAUCGCAGCGGUCUUCGGAGACCGCGAGGGGACCGGGAGCCGCUGGGAUCCCGGCUGCGCGUCUCUCGGCCCGGCCGGGAGCUGCGCCAGUCGGAGUCCCGGGAAGAGCGCGGCUUGCCUUCCUCUCAGCGUUCAUCUGGCCGCAGCGCAGCCCCCGGUCAUGACGGAUCCACCAGGGGCGCCGCCGCCUGCCCUUGCAGGCCGCGGGUGAAAAACAAAGUCCGUCCUCGCUCUAGUCAGAGCGAGAGGGUGGCUCACAGCAGGGAAUUGACCAAGGGAAAGAAAGUGACCCGCAGCAAGAAAGAGAACGGGACCAAGGAGACCCAGGUGGAGGAGACC